rnacentral:misc_RNA from 1 species
UUAAUUUUUAUUAUUUUUCCUUUAUAUUGCUUUGCUUAAUACGUAAAUUGAUUUAAGACUGUUGCUGCCAUCUAUAGUGGUAAAUUUUUUAUAUCUAGACGCUUAUAAUAAAUAUGAUCAAAGGUUAAGAAUAAUAUAAAAAAACUGUUUCCAUCAAGACAAAAUAACAAUUGGUAUUUUGAUACAGUAAAGAUGUUAAUAGAUUUCCUUUCAUUUGUAAAUUCUUGUACUUGAAAAUUUUGUUGUAUAAACAAACCAGAUGGGAGACAAAAGUAAAAUGUUCUUUUAAGCCUGAAAUUAGAUGAUAUCAAUCGAUUACGUGAUAAGAUUAAGUAUCAUAAAAUGUUAGAUUUUAUAGCAUGUUCAAUAAUCUCUCAUUCAAAUUCACUGCGUCCAGAGAUAAAAUAUUAAACUGAUUGUUCAGUGAAGGAAAGCUCAAUGAACGACAAGGAAAAGAUUUUAAUGAAAUACCAUUUUAACUAACCAUUUGGGAAGAGGAAGAACUUUAUUGAUUUUUUUAUCUUUAUCAAAUAGAUCUAUUACAAUUGUAUAUAUCUCAUUAGUAUUGUACAUCUAAUUCAAUAUGAAAAUCUACUAUUCUGAACAUAUUAUCUCCCUAUUGCAGUGUCAAACUUUGACGAGAGCGAUUAUACACCCUUUGGCUCAACGAUGAGUAACGUGUCGAAUGAAUUUAUGGACGAACAUUUUUAUUCAAACUGUAGUAAGUUUCUUAUUAGUUUAAUUUCAUAAAUAGUUAGACAAGGAAGGAAAUAUUUAUACUUCCUCUUUUUAUUAUUUCCUACAUUGUGUCAUUUUAUUUAGCACACUCUUCCGAUACUAUGACCAAUUCAGGUUCGGACGACUCUUAUCAAGCUGUUGAGUGGAAGAACGUUAUACCAGAGAAAUGGGAUUGCGAACUCGUCCAGAACUAUAUUGCUCAUAUAUUGUAUCGAAAUGAAUUUGAUAAUGACAGGAUAGUCAUUACACAGGACAAAUUUCGUGAAUGUAACGGACAAAAGUUAAUGCGAAUGCAACAUCACGAUUUCAUACAACUUGAUCCAGACAGUGGUACAGUAAUAUACAGAGAAUUCCAGGAACUAAAUCGAAGUAUUCCGAAUUACCCACCUGACCCAGAUUCGAGUGACUAUCCGACUUCACAUUAUAUCCCUACAGCUCCUCAUACGAUCACGAAAACUGCAAGGAGCAAACGGGAGCCUGCAGCAAAAAAACCAAGAACUCCAAGCACAAGAGGUAGAAAACCAGGUCAACUGUCCAAAGGCAAUCAUCUUUGGGAGUUUUUGAGGGAUUUACUUAAUGAUGAUAGAUCUAACCCUCAUCUAUUAAAAUGGGUUAAUCGCGAAGAAGGUAUCUUUCGAAUAGUUAAAUCUGAGCAAGUUGCCAAAUUCUGGGGGGAUAAGAAGAAAAGACCAAAAAUGUCGUAUGAGAAGAUGAGUCGAGCUAUUAGGUUUUGUAGAGAUGUUGGUUAUUUUGGCGAAGUUCCAAAAAAUGUAGGACACCCCAAAAAAUUAAUAUUUAAAUUUGGCAAUAAGGCCCACGGCUGGGAUAAGAAAGAUCCUAAUGCUAACCUUGAUUUUCUGAAGAAUAUUUCAUACUAAUUUCACAAAACGCGAAUUGAAACUUAGCCAACUAUGUAAAUUAUCCUUCAUAUACUUUUUAAAAUAUUGAACUUGUUUAUGUUCCAUAAUUUUCCUAAAUUCUCACAAAUCAAUCUUGAAUUGUUAUAUUGAACUACAAUUUUGUUAAACUCAUUUAUUUCAACGCAAUUCUUAUCGCUAUAAAAUACAUUUACAUUCAUGUUUUUGUCGAGCUGAAGCCAAAUUUCUUCUGAAGGUUUUUUACGACGUUGUACAUCCUGAGUUAGAGCAAUUGACUUUCAGGCGUUUCCAAAGCUGUAAUUUUGGAGGAAUAUAGGAACAUUAUAAAAUGAAAUACUAAAUCCAAUAUCAUAACAGUGGAAUAACUACGUACAGCAUUACAAUGUCCGUUACUAUACCUUUGAAGAAAUCUGGAAUACGAAUUACAAUUGAAAAUACAUAUAUAUGUACAUACAUAUGAAGUAACCGUUUAUUAUUCGUUUUUCUUUUUUGUGUUAUAAAAUAAUAAUAUAAAAUAAAUCAAUUUUAACGAUUAUUUAAUUACGAUCCUCUUUGACUUUCUACUGUCGCUUCGUUCUUAAUACUAAGUAUAAGUAACACUAAUUGUCGAAUUGUAAAAACAUUCUAAACAAAGAGAAACCAUAAUUUCUAUCUAAUAUGGUAAAUUAUUAUGAAUGUUCAAAUUUUCAAAUCAAAAUAUUAGUGGGCUAUAAAGACGUUAACCGAUCUUUAAACGCCAAGCAAGUUACAGCUUUUUGAUGUCCAUCGUACUCUCUUCUGACUUUGCCUGUUUCUAAAUCCCAUACCCUUGCAAGAUUAUCGGAGGACGAAGUCAUCAAGUGUCUCGAAUCGCUGCUAAAGGCACAAUCCCAAACCCAUCUCUGGUUGGGAACAGCACAAAGGGUAGUAUACAGAGAAGAAUCUGAUGUUUUCCAAAUUUUUGCAGAGCCAUCGGCAGAGGUGGUGGCUAAAUAUUUUCCAUCUGGACUAUAUUUGCAUUUUAAAGCAUACUUCCUAUGAGCCUGUAUUUUUUUUUCUACAGCUAUUGUCUGAGUUUCUUCGUUAAUUGAAUUUUUUAAAGGCCUGGAACGUGUUCAAAAUUUUUGCAUGAACCAAAUUUUUAACUCAAUGAAAGCAUUAUUUUAAAAUGAGAUUAAAUGAAAUAUUUUAAAGAAAUAACAAAUAUUUUCUGAAACACGUUCCAGAUAUAUAGAUCACCCCUAUUGGUAACAGCAGAUAAGUUUGAACCCGUUACGUCAAUGGAAAGAUCUUGAAUAGAACACUCCUCUACAUUUCCAAUUUCUUCAUGGUAGUUUGCAGUUAAAUCCCAACAAUAUACUUUACCUUGUUGGCUGCCGAUGUACAGAACAGCUUGGUUCGGAUGCAAAACAGCUGCGUUUAUAUAGUUAUCGAUUCUGAAACAUUUUGCACAUUGCAGGCCUCGAGACCUUGAUCUAAAAUCCCAUACGCGAAUAAAACCAUCUUCUCCCGCAGAAUACAUCCACCGACUGUCUUGUUCAAAACCGACUGAUAAAACAUUUUUUUGAACACCAUUGCAACAUAUUAGGGGAUUUGAAUUCCCUGAUUUUGCAUCAUAAACGCGUAUGUUCUGGUAGCAACCAGCGGCCAACAGUUUACCAUCGUUUGUUAACUCCAAACAAUUAAUCUGUGUAUCACUUUGGCACUGUAUUGUUCGUUCACAAUAGCCUCGCUGGGCUUGCCAAAACUUGAUAGUAUGAUCAUAUCCUGAAGUAACAAAGAUUACUGUCUCAUCCCCUGAAUCAAGAGUUUCGUUCAUAUUUUAUAAAUGUCAAAGUGCAGUUGAUUAAGAAAAAUUAUAUUGCAAAAGACCAUAGAUGUUUUUCAUUCCUAAAGUAUAACAGUCGUCUAAUUUACUCUCAAAGAAGUUUCAUACUUAAAAUUAUCCGAACAAAAUUUGAA